UUGAUCAUGGCUCAGAUUGAACGCUGGCGGCAGGCCUAACACAUGCAAGUCGAGCGGAAACGAGUUAUCUGAACCUUCGGGGAACGAUAACGGCGUCGAGCGGCGGACGGGUGAGUAAUGCCUAGGAAAUUGCCCUGAUGUGGGGGAUAACCAUUGGAAACGAUGGCUAAUACCGCAUGAUGCCUACGGGCCAAAGAGGGGGACCUUCGGGCCUCUCGCGUCAGGAUAUGCCUAGGUGGGAUUAGCUAGUUGGUGAGGUAAGGGCUCACCAAGGCGACGAUCCCUAGCUGGUCUGAGAGGAUGAUCAGCCACACUGGAACUGAGACACGGUCCAGACUCCUACGGGAGGCAGCAGUGGGGAAUAUUGCACAAUGGGCGCAAGCCUGAUGCAGCCAUGCCGCGUGUGUGAAGAAGGCCUUCGGGUUGUAAAGCACUUUCAGUCGUGAGGAAGGUAGUGUAGUUAAUAGCUGCA
rnacentral:rRNA from 1 species